rnacentral:rRNA from 1 species
GACAACGCUGGCGGCGUGCUUAACACAUGCAAGUCGAACGGAGUUACGUAUGAAGUAUUUCGGUACGGACUACAUAACUUAGUGGCGAACGGGUGAGUAACACGUGGGCAACCUGCCCUUAACCGGGGGAUAACAUUGUGAAAACAGUGCUAAUACCGCAUAACAGAGUAUCGGGCAUCCGAUAUUUUUAAAAGGAGCAAUCCGGUUUAGGAUGGGCCCGCGUCCAAUUAGCUAGUUGGUGAGGUAACGGCUCACCAAGGCUACGAUUGGUAGCCGAACUGAGAGGUUGAUCGGCCACAUUGGGACUGAGACACGGCCCAGACUCCUACGGGAGGCAGCAGUGGGGAAUAUUGGGCAAUGGGCGAAAGCCUGACCCAGCGACGCCGCGUGAAGGAUGAAGGUCUUCGGAUUGUAAACUUCUUUGAUCAGGGAAGAAAGAAAUGACGGUACCUGAAGAACAAGCCACGGCUAACUACGUG